AUUGAACGCUGGCGGCAGGCCUAACACAUGCAAGUCGAACGAGUGGCGGACGGGUGAGUAAUGUCUGGGAAACUGCCUGAUGGAGGGGGAUAACUACUGGAAACGGUAGCUAAUACCGCAUACCAUCAGAUGUGCCCAGAUGGGAUUAGCUAGUAGGUGAGGUAACGGCUCACCUAGGCGAAGAUCCCUAGCUGGGCUGGGAGGAUGACCAGCCACACUGGAACUGCGCCACUGUCCAGACUCCGACGGGAGGCAGCAGUGGGGAAUAUUGCACAAUGGGCGCAAGCCUGAUGCAGCCAUGCCGCGUGUAUGAAGAAGGCCUUCGGGUUGUAAAGUACUUUCAGCGGGGAGGCGUUACCCGCAGAAGAAGCACCGGCUAAGUACGUGCCAGCCGCCGCGGUAAUUC
rnacentral:rRNA from 1 species